AUACUUUCCUAGCAUGGGGGACACCAUUCUUACCAAGGUGGUGUUCCCAGGGAGAGAUUUAUUUAUUGCACUAUGAAUGUGCUAACCCCUUUGACUUCCCUAAAUGUGAAAAAUUCAACUACAUAUUUGUGGCAGGGGAAGAAAGUUUUUUCUGUCUCCCUU
ensembl:snRNA U1 U1 spliceosomal RNA